UACGUAGGGGCCUAGCGUUGUCCGGAUUUAUUGGGCGUAAAGAGCUCGUAGGCGGUUCGGUAAGUCAGGUGUGAAAUCUCCACGCUCAACGUGGAGGCGCCACCUGAAACUGCCGUGACUCGAGUCCGGUAGGGGAGUGUGGAAUUCUCGGUGUAGCAGUGAAAUGCGUAGAUAUCGAGAGGAACACCAGUGGCGAAGGCGAGUCCCUGGACAACUCCUGACACUGAGGCACGAAAGCUAGGGGAGCAAACAGG
rnacentral:rRNA from 1 species